GAUCAUGGCUCAGGAUGAACGCUAGCGACAGGCUUAACACAUGCAAGUCGAGGGGCAGCAUGAACUUAGCUUGCUAAGUUUGAUGGCGACCGGCGCACGGGUGAGUAACGCGUAUGCAACUUGCCUAUCAGAGGAGAAUAGCUCAUCGAAAGAUGAAUUAAUGCUCCAUGAAACAGGGGUUCCGCAUGGGAAUAUUUGUUAAAGAUUCAUCGCUGAUAG
rnacentral:rRNA from 1 species